AUCUUCAUGCAUGUUUAGAGUUUAUUGGAACAUAUACACAUCAAGAUUAAUACAAAAAACAUGAAAGAGUAAGAAGAAAGAGAGAUAAUUUUUCUAUUUUUUAAAAGAUUCGAGAUUGCAAGACAAAAACUGUUUGUAUGGUUCAAGUCAAAGACGUAUUGUGAUGUUUCGUUUUGAAGUAUUAUCCCAAUCUUUUGUGAGCUUUCCCUCGAGAAACGCUUUUAACAUUUAAUACUUUAGUUAGACUGACAGACAUUCUUAAAAUCAAGAUCAUAUAAGAAAGACUUGUCGAGAUAUAGAAUGAAACAUCAAAUAGCAAAGAAAGCUUUGUUUUGAUUGAUAAUAUUACACAUAACCAAGAGAGAGCAUAUAGUACAAACGAAAACAAGAAUAGUUAUCCUUAGAAGUAAUCUUCAGUCCUGCCCUUGAAUCCGAUUUGUCCGAAAGUGAGGCAGAGGAAGAGGCCUAAGUGCCACGUAACCAACCACAACCAGAACUGUGAAGUGAGAGCUGGAGGAGUCGGGAAGUGAGCGAGCUCAGUUCCGAUGCUAUCGAAGAAGAGACCCGUCAGGCUCUUCCCAUUUAUCGCUGGAAUGCUCGACGGAGCUAGCCAUCCGAUCAGCCCAAAUCCUACCACGUUCAAAUCUCUCCUCAACCAGUUCCUCUCAAAGCUUUAAUUCAUUUUUGACACAAACAAAUAAAUUUAUUAGAAAAUACCCUAAAAAGCACCUCAAAAUUAAAACAAGCUUUAUUAAGUUCCUAAGAUCAGUUAGGACUCAUUCCUAUAUCUUAAGUAACAUAACUAGUGAUACUUCUGG
rnacentral:sRNA from 1 species